AAAAACUAAAAUACACGCGUUUAAACCACUUCAAACUAAAAAGGUGCAUCCGAUGACAUUGGACACGCUUUCAAAAAUAUAUUUACGGACUUCCUCCUCGAGUCGUUUAAUGGGAAUGGAAGAGACGAAAAACAUGCCUUAGCCAACUAAGGAUCAUUGAAGCAAUUUUACGAGGUUCAUUUCGCAAGGUUCAUUUUACUUUUAAAAAAGCAUAAGGAGAGCCAUUGAACAUAGCCACCACCGAUUUAAACAAAAGAAAUAAAUACAUCUUAA